rnacentral:rRNA from 1 species
GAUGAACGCUGGCGGCGUGCUUAACACAUGCAAGUCGAACGAUGAAGCCCAGCUUGCUGGGUGGAUUAGUGGCGAACGGGUGAGUAACACGUGAGUAACCUGCCCUUAACUCUGGGAUAAGCCUGGGAAACUGGGUCUAAUACCGGAUAGGAGCGUCCACCGCAUGGUGGGUGUUGGAAAGAUUUAUCGGUUUUGGAUGGACUCGCGGCCUAUCAGCUUGUUGGUGAGGUAAUGGCUCACCAAGGCGACGACGGGUAGCCGGCCUGAGAGGGUGACCGGCCACACUGGUACUGAGACACGGCCCAGACUCCUACGGGAGGCAGCAGUGGGGAAUAUUGCGCAAUGGACGCAAGCCUGAUGCAGCGACGCCGCGUGAGGGAUAACGGCCUUCGGGUUGUAAACCUCUUUCAGUAGGGAAGAAGCGAAAGUGACGGUACCUGCAGAAGAAGCACCGGCUAACUACGUG